rnacentral:rRNA from 1 species
UACGGAGGAGGCAAGCGUUAUCCGGAAUUAUUGGGCGUAAAGCGUCCGUAGGUGGAUGGAGAAGUCUGUUGUCAAAGCGUGGAGCUUAACUCCAUACCGGCAAUGGAAACUCUUCGUCUAGAGUGCGAUAGGGGCAAGGGGAAUUCCCAGUGUAGCGGUGAAAUGCGUAGAUAUUGGGAAGAACACCGGUGGCGAAAGCGCCUUGCUGGGUCUGCACUGACACUGAGGGACGAAAGCUAGGGGAGCGAAAGGG